UACGUAGGGUCCGAGCGUUGUCCGGGGUUACUGGGCGUAAAGCGCGCGCAGGCGGCGGUGUUGGCCCGGCGUGAAAGCCCCCGGCUCAACCGGGGAGAGUCGUCGGGGACCGCACCGCUUGAGGGCGGUAGGGGCUGGUGGAAUGCCUGGUGUAGUGGUGAAAUGCGUAGAGAUCAGGCAGAACACCUGGGGCGAAGGCGGCGAGCUGGCCUGUACCUGACGCUGAGGCGCGACAGCGUGGGGAGCAAACAGG
rnacentral:rRNA from 1 species